UACGUAGGGGGCUAGCGUUGUCCGGAUUUAUUGGGCGUAAAGAGCGUGUAGGCGGCCAGGUAGGUCAGCUGUGAAAACUCGAGGCUCAACCUCGAGACGCCGGUUGAAACCAUCUGGCUAGAGUCCGGAAGAGGAGAGUGGAAUUCCUGGUGUAGCGGUGAAAUGCGCAGAUAUCAGGAAGAACACCCGUGGCUAAGGCGGCUCUCUAGUACGGUACUGACGCUGAGACGCGAAAGCGUGGGGAGCGAACAGG
rnacentral:rRNA from 1 species